AUUAUUUUAUUGCAUUAGGCAAAGUGUUUUAACAACACGGAGGAUGCCCACUAUAUGUACAGUGCCUUGUAAGAAGGAGGAACCAGGGAAGUGGUGAAGACUUCUUCUUAUGGGAUCUCCAGAACUGAAGCCACGUGACAAGAUGCUGGAUGCAUUAGAAGAAAAAUCACUCCAUACAAACAGUUAUUUGUCUCACUCUACCAAGUGGCAUUGACUGCAAAAAGGACUUAUUGGAGGUCAAGCUUUGCCCUAAACAUCUGCAGGGAAAGUCAAUGAAGUCCACACUUCAACAAAACACACAGAACCCACUGAAGUCAUUAGAAGAGUCUGAAGGAGGAGAGACAUCUGGAAAAUGCCACUAGAUCACUGAAGAAUGAAGAAGGUAAGGACAAAGAGAACAUUGCUUCCAUUAAUAUUCCCA
rnacentral:lncRNA from 1 species